rnacentral:rRNA from 1 species
GACGAACGCUGGCGGCGUGCUUAACACAUGCAAGUCGAGCGGUAAGGCCCUUUCGGGGGUACGACGAGCGGCGAACGGGUGAGUAACACGUGGGUGACCUGCCCUCAGCUCUGGGAUAAGCCUGGGAAACCGGGUCUAAUACUGGAUAUGACUCCAUGACGCAUGUUGUGGGGUGGAAAGCCUUGUGCGGCUGAGGAUGGGCCCGCGGCCUAUCAGCUUGUUGGUGGGGNGAUGGCCUACCAAGGCGACGACGGGUAGCCGGCCUGAGAGGGCGGACCGGCCACACUGGGACUGAGACACGGCCCAGACUCCUACGGGAGGCAGCAGUGGGGAAUCUUGCGCAAUGGGCGAAAGCCUGACGCAGCGACGCCGCGUGAGGGAUGACGGCCUGGU